rnacentral:misc_RNA from 1 species
UCUCUCUCUCUCUCUCUCACAUAUCAGGGUCUUCUCCUCCACUUCUCUCUCUCUAAUGUAUGUGUGCAGGAAACCAAAUCCCUUCCUCUGCGAAUCAAAGAAAAUUGGGAAUCGAAGCCAAGCCUCCCCUCUAUGAAUCAUAGCCAAUCUACUCCCCCUUGCUAUUUCCAGUGAAGAUCGAGGGAUGCUAUCAUGGAGGGGAGAGGAGGAAUGGCAUUGGUGGAGCUCCGAGUUCCUCUCUCUCUCUCAAUUUUUUGAGAUUGAAGAAGCCUUUGAUGCAAAUCUUCUUGCUAUAAUGAAUUGAAAUUGUUGAAUCCUUUGAUGCAAAAAAUGUAAAAUUCUAACCGUAGCUUAAAAAAAAUUGUAAGUUGACACAGAGAGAGAAUUUCCUUUAUUUUUUAUUUUUUUAACAGUGUUAAGUCAAUUUAUUUAUUUAUUUUUAAUUAACUCCAUUGGAAAAGGAUAAAAUGUAAAAAACAAUAAAAAUCCAGGGACUGAAUGUAAAAACAAAAGUCCAAGGAUGCAAAGUGACCAAACAAAACUAUGGUGACUUGAUAAAAAGAAAGAAGUCCAGGAACCUAAAGAUGCAUUUGUCUUCUUUAUUUUUUUUUAAGGGUGUUAAGUCAAUUUAAUAUUUUUUAUUAAAUCCAUUAGAAAAUGAUACAAUGUAAAAAACGAUAAAAGUCUAGACACUCAAUGCAAAAAAUAAAAGUCUAAGGAUGCAAAGUGACCAAAUAAAACUAUGGGGAUUGAAAAAUAAGUUCAGGGACCUAAAGAUGCAUUUUGCCUAAAAUAAAAUGAAGUCUGGCCAAAAUGAUUUAGAACAGUGUUCUGGUGAUCUGCAAAUGCUUUAUAGAUAUUGGAAGAAUACCUGAGUUGACAGCACAGACAAU